rnacentral:rRNA from 1 species
UACGGAAGGCAGCAGUGGGGAAUAUUGCACAAUGGGCGCAAGCCUGAUGCAGCCAUGCCGCGUGUAUGAAGAAGGCCUUCGGGUUGUAAAGUACUUUCAGUCGUGAGGAAGGUGUUAAGGUUAAUAACCUUAGCAAUUGACGUUAGCGACAGAAGAAGCACCGGCUAAUUCCGUGCCAGCAGCCGCGGUAAUACGGAGGGUGCGAGCGUUAAUCGGAAUUACUGGGCGUAAAGGGCACGCAGGCGGUUAAUUAAGUUGGAUGUGAAAUCCCCGGGCUUAACCUGGGAAUGGCAUUCAAGACUGGUUAGCUAGAGUCUUGUAGAGGGGGUAGAAUUCCAUGUGUAGCGGUGAAAUGCGUAGAGAUGUGGAGGAAUACCGGUGGCGAAGGCGGCCCCUGGACAAAGACUGACGCUCAUGUGCGAAAGCGUGGGGAGCAAACAGGGAUUAGAUACC